GAUAAGUGCAGGUGGUAAGUUGUUAAUACCAAAGGCAACCAUAUUCUUUGGACCUAACGUUUUCUUGUAGGAAUAAUUUGAUUCAUUUUACCGCCAAGGAGCAAGUGUUCAAGAACCUCCUCCCUAUAAGGGCAGAAAAUUUAGAUGUCAGUCUUGCUGAAAUGCCCCAGUGCCCUCCUUCUCACGCAUCCAAGAGUUUCCUCAUAGCUUGGUUGGGUCCAGAUGGGCUUGGUCCCAUGUCUACAUAUAAUUAGGGUGGAGAGGAGUUGAGGCAUACAGCCUGGUGUCAGCAAGUCAUGUCCUGAGCCUGGAGCUGGACAAAGCCCAGAACUCACCUAGUGGCCAAGGGCAUUCAGGAGAGGCAGUGACUCCUACGGAAGUUGGUCUCAGCAUUUGUGCUGCCAUCUCUUCCGGUCUAACUGGCCAGAGACAUUUAGGUGAAGACCUUUCACAUUGCCUUUCUCUCAGUCAAGGAAGAGGUCAGCUAAAUUGGUCCAGGAACUUUGAGUCAAACUCCUUCAAUUCCUUGUCAGCUCAGGGGUGUAGCGUGGCAGAGAGUCACGGUGGUAGGUGGAUAAGGAGUUGGGAGUGUUUGGGUCUUCUCAGUAGAAGGGGCUAGGGUAGGGGUUGCAUCUGCCUCUGGAUUUUGUUGUUGUGUUGGUGGUGGUUUUUUAUUUGUUUGUUUUAUAGAGACAGGCUCCCACUAUGUUGCCUAGGCUGGUCUCAAACUCCUGGGCUCAAGAGAUCCUCCCGCCUUGGCCUCCCAAAGUGCUGGGAUUACAGGCAUGAGCCACCAUGCCGGCCUGCCUCUGAAUUUUGUGUCUUCUUUCCCUGCUGUAGCAUUUAGGCUAGAACCAAGCCCUUUUGCAGCAGUUCUGGACACAGUGACUGCCUACAACCGGGCUUGGCUGCUGGGACCUCACUCCCUACUAGGCCCAAGCUCAGAGUGUUCUAUCUCUUAGGGACCAACUCUUUCAUCAUAAGUACAUUCACCCCAGGGGCAUAACCCACCCCAGGAAAUAGGACUCAACUCUGUACCACCGCAGAGAACACCGUUCCUUCUGGCUUCUGAGGGAAUGAUACCUCCUGAACCUGUGGGAUGCAGCAGCGCCGCCAGGACCCCGGCUUGGGAUGAUCUCCCGCUCUGAUUAUCACCACCCUGUGGACCAAGACCAUCCCCCACACCCGCUGUCCAGGGAUCUACUCUCCUGGGAACUGAGCAGGUGACACAGAGAAUGAGUGGAAUACUAAUACAUUGAAGGGCAAAAUCAAAACCCCAGAAGAUCUCUAAAAGUCUGAAUGAAUCAGCCCAUAUUACAAGAUAAAGUCCAUAAUGGUAAACGGAAGGCUCUGGUCUUGGUUUACAAAAUCCAACCACUCAAAUAUGUAGUUGCUGGAAGUUUUGUGGCCAUGGGGAUGCUGACAAAGAUUGCUUGGGAUGCACACAAGGCAGCGGCGAAGCCUGAGGGGUGCUGCCAGGCCGGGCUCUCCACUGGCCACGAAAGUCCUGGCAACUUGGCGCAGCGAAUUUGAUCAGCACCAUACGUACGACCUGUCUCAGGAACGGUGCCAUGUGUGUGACUAGGACUGCAAAGCAGCUUGUGUUCGUGGGGGAAAUGACAGGCACAGGAAGGAAAAGCUGAGAACACUGAAACGGUUCCUAAUCGUGCAGUGGGGAAAGGAGGGCGACUGCCGCGCAGAGUGGCACGUUGGCUGGAAGAGGGGAUUGAUCAGCAGUGCUGGCAGGAACAGCAUAGGCUUGUCGUGUGAUCUAACAGAAGAGGCAGCAAUCUGGAGGCGCCCCAGAUCAGAGAAGAGACAUCAAGCCCCAGGAGAAAUGGAUUUCCUUUCUCCCCACCCAUCAGCUGGGUAGGAAGCCCGAAGGAGCCUUUCAUGGAACUAUGGGAAGGGCUCCUCUGACGCAGAGGGGAUGAACUGGAAGCAAGAUGCUGACUGUUUCCAAAGGCUUGACAGUCAGAAGCAGGCAGGCUUCAGCCUAUUGAGAUACUUUACCCAAGAGGAUUUCCGCUUAGGUUCUGUCUUGAAAGAAAUAUUCGCUCCCAAAUUUCCUCCCAUCAAGAGUGCUUCUCCCUACAGAAGGCUAAGGCUCACAGGUUGUCCCCAGGGACACAUUUCUUUCAAGUAGGAUGACUGGUAUGUUUAGACUGAAAAGCUGAUUUACUGGAAGAUUGCUAUCACCCCCUGGCCUACCAUGUCGUUGGUGUGGCCAGUGUUUAUCAGACAGUGGUGUUUCCAGCUUAGGCCUGAAUGGAAGAAGAAACUGAAAGAAGAAAUAAAAAGAGAGAUGCGCCGGGCAUGGUGGCUCAUGCCUGUAAUCCCAGUGCUUUGGGAGGCCGAGGUGGCAGACCACUUGAGGUCAGGAGUUCAAGACCAGCCUGGCCAACAUGGUGAAACCCCGUCCCUACUAAAAAUACAAAAAAUUAGCUGGGUGUGGUGGCGUGUGCCUGUGGUCCCAGCUACUCCGGAGGCUGAGGCAGGAGAAUUGCUUGAACCCGGGAGGCGGAGGUUGCAGUGAGCCAAGAUUGUACCACUGCACUCCAGCCUGGGCAACAGAGUGAUACUCUCUCAAACAAGACAAAACAAACAAAAAAGAGGAGGCUCGGCACGGUGGCUCACGCCUGUAAUCCCACCACUUUGGUAGGCUGAGGCUGGCAUAUCACUUGAGGUUGGGAGUUCGAGACCAGCCUGACCAAUAUGGAGAAACCCCAUCUCUACUAAAAAUGCAAAAUCAGCCAGGUGUGGUGGCGCAUGCCUGUAAUCCCAGCUACUCAGAAGGUUGAGGCAGGAGAAUCGCUUGAACCCGGGAGGCAGAGGUUGCGGUGAGCCAAGAUCACGCCAUUUUACUCCAGCCUAGGCAACAAGAGCAAAACUCCAUCUCAAAAAAAAAAAAAAAAAAAUGGAGAGAGAGAUGUUUCUCAGCUUUGGGAAAUGCUGACUUUUCCAGCACACCUUUGCUCAGAAAAGCCCUAUGAUAUAAAGUGUCAUAGGAACCUUGUCCUUGGAACCAAGCCUAGCCUAGGCUCAGGGACAUCAUGUGGGAGUGACAUAAAGGAGGCUCCUCUGUCACUGUGCUUGGGUUACAAGUAAUUCUCGACAUGGGAGCAUGUUGAUUUCUAACCAUCGGUGGCGGAGCUGUGACUUCCCAAGCUGGUGGCUGACCUCAAGAGGACUAUUAUAGACACUGUGGGACCACGGCCUGAGAAAAGAAUGGCUACCUCCCUCUCUAUCCCAUGACCUCUAACGGCCCGGUCACCACCAUGGCCUUUUGUUCCUGGAGAGGGACAGGAACUUUGGAAAGUGGGGUCGCUCUAUUGCUUCUGCAGGUCAUCUUCCCAGACUUGCCUAAGCCUCAGAAUCUCAGUCUUCUGCUCUGUUUUGCACGUCUUUUUUGAAAGGUUUUUAAAAAUUACAAUCUACUGUACAGAAGAAAAUAAUACACAGAAAAUAAUUUUAGAAAAUAAUACAACAGAUAUCUAAGUAUCCACCACCCAGAUUGGACAACAUAUUAACAUUUUGCCCCAUCUAUAUCAGAUAUUAUUUAUUUUCUUUUUUACUUAUUUUUGAGACAGAAUCUCGCUCUGUCGCCCAGGCUGGAGCGCAGUGGUGUGAUCUCAGCUCACUGCAACCUCUGCCUCCCAGGUUCAAGCGAUUCUCCUGCCUCAGCCUCCCGAGUAGCUGGGACUAGUGGUGUGCACCACCAUGCCCAGCUAACUUUUGUAUUUUUAGUAGAGACAGGGUUUCACCAUGUUGGCCAGGAUGGUCUCGAUCUCUUGAUCUCGUGAUCCGCCCGCCUCAGCCUUCUACAGUGCUGGGAUUACAGGCAUGAGCCACCUCGCCCAGCCUAUUUUUAUUUUUUUUAAGACAUGGUCUUGCUCUGUCACCCAGGCUGGAGUGCAGUGGCACGAUCUUGGUUCACUGUGGCCUUGACCUUCCAGGUGCAAGCAAUCCUCCCAUCUCAGCCUCCUGUGUAGCUGGGACUACAGGAGCAUACUGCCACACUUGGCUGAUUAAAACAUUUUUUCUUUCUGCAGAGACAGGGUCUUACCAUGUUGCCUAGGCUGGUCUUGAACUCCUGGGCUCAAGUGAUUCCCCUGCCUCCGGCUCCCAAAGUAAUGGGAUUACAGGCAUGAGCCAGCAUGCCCAGCCUAUAUCAGAUUUUUUUAAAAUUGCAGAUAGAAUUAAAAACUUGCUUAUCUAUUUUUAGUAGAGGGAAAAACCUAAAUAAGUUUAAUUCUAGUAAGUUGCUGACUCUACACAACAACUUCCUUUCAGUCUUCAGAUAAUGGAAACUUUGUGGAUUUAUGCACAGCACCCAAACCCCAGAGAUCUGCCCCAACAGAAAGAUUGCCAACAAAAUGUUUGUCUUAAUACUUGAACAAAUUUUUCUCAAACUUACAUUGUAUAUUUUUCUCCACCAGUUUGCUAAAUGUCCACAAGGUUAAUACCCGCCCAGCCAAAUGAAAAGACCACUGGGAUCAGGUGCGGUGGCUCACACCUGUUAUCUGUUCCAGCUACUUGGGGAGGCUGAGGUGGGAGGAUCGCUGUAGCCUGGGAAAUCGAGGCCGCAGUGAGCUAUGAUCAAGCCACUGCACUCCAGCCUGGCCAACAGCGCAAGAGCCUGCUCUAAAAAAUCAAAAUAAAAAAAAAAAGAGCAUUGGGUCUCCAAAGGUAACAGGUGUGAAAUACACCUUAGCCUACUCAGAAUUUUGCCCCAUGAAAUAAGUAAGGAUUAUUAAAUAUUUCUGGAAACUCAAACAACUCUUUAAACAAUGUUCACAAUUUUUCAAUGUCCACAUCAGCCAAACCCACGGAAAGCUAAGCAUUAAUUCACCUACUGUUGGAGAGGCUAGACUAUUUAAGGAAUCUCUCCUGAAUUCUAGUCCUGAAUUUCCAAUGCAACUCGUGUCCACUAGAAUGUUCUGUGAAUGUUUCAAGCUUGAAACGCCUGCAGCCAAACUUGUUUUCUUUCCAUCCAAUUAUAUCCUCUUUCCAAUGUUCCCCUUUUUUCAUUAAAGGCACCACUAUUCUUCCAGCCAUCCUGAUUCACAGCCUCAGAGCUGGCCUCA
rnacentral:lncRNA from 10 species